rnacentral:rRNA from 1 species
UACGUAGGGGGCAAGCGUUAUUCGGAUUUACUGGGUGUAAAGGGAGCGUAGACGGCAGCGCAAGUCUGGAGUGAAAUGCCGGGGCUCAACCCCGGAACUGCUUUGGAAACUGUGCAGCUAGAGUGCGGGAGAGGUAAGCGGAAUUCCUAGUGUAGCGGUGAAAUGCGUAGAUAUUAGGAGGAACACCAGUGGCGAAGGCGGCUUACUGGACCGUAACUGACGUUGAGGCUCGAAAGCGUGGGGAGCAAACAGG